CCCGUUAAAGGCUUUUGACAGCAGACAGAGCGUUUCACAAGUGGCGACCUGCCCUUCCACACAAAGCGAAAGAGCUGUCUCUCCAACCUGAUCAACCACGAAUCCGGACAGGGUAGGUAAUGACCGAUGCGGUAAACACAUUGGCCACCUCCGCCCCUCCUUUCAGGGAUAACUACCGCCAAGACCAGGUCUUGACUACUGCAGCCACCCUGUUCAAUACCUCCGUCCAGUUCUUCUCUAUCUGGAAGCCUGGUCCAAACCAAACUCCCAGCAACUUAACCGGUCCCUCCGUCCAGCGCUCAACAAUGCUAUCUGAAGGCAUCGAUUUGCCAACCCAGGUGCCGAGCUGCAAGCCGACCGACUUUUCCCGGUUAAUCUUUGCUCCUGUCACCUCCUCGAAAGCCUCAAUAGUCUCACCCACUUCACGUAGGCGUGCUACUGAGGUUACGCUGAUAGUGAUAUCAUCCGCGUAAGCCCUAACAAACUCCUUUAGACCUGGUUCUCUCAGGAUGCCACUCAACCUUCACAGUAAGGGCUCGAGAGACAUCACAUACAAAAGUGGUGAGAGCGGACAUCCUUGGCGAACCGAGCGUCUGAUGCAGAACGGCUUCGAAAGGAACCCGUUCACCCGAACUAUCGAGUCAAUGUUGUGGUACAAAGCGAUAAACUACCUGAGGAAGCCAAGGCCCAGGCUGAACCGCGCAAGCACAGUCGCCAGGUAUCGAUGGUCAACCCUAUCAAAAGUCCAAAUGUACCAAUACCCCACCUUUGCCAGAUUUAUUACCAACCCUCUCUAUGAUAUAGCGAAUAAGAUGGAAGGUAUCCUGAAUGGUUCUGCCCGGGAUGGUACAUGUCUGUGCUUCCCCGACUAUACCAUUCGCGACACGCGCCAACCUUUUUGUUGAGACCUUGGCCAAAAUCUUCACUUCUGCGUUUAAAAGAGUGAUGGACCUGAAAUUCCCUAUAACGUCCCCCUUUUCCGGGUCCUUUCUGACCAACGUCACUACCCCCCGGCGCACAGAGCUGGGGAUAAACCCAUUCUGUUGCCAGUUCGCGUACACGUCAGCCAGUAUUUGCCCGAACAAGUCUGGCAUACAUUUAUACAGCUCGUAUGGAAGACCAUCAAGUCCCGGCGACUUACCCGCUUUACAGUCGGCCAAAGCCUCCAUCACCUCCACAGGCGUGAUUGGCCUUUCGCAAGACUCAACAUCCGACCCCGAGAGACAUGGCAGCCCGGCAAGAAAGUCCUCGAGAGCUCUCUCACCACCAGGAACACCGCUACCCUCGAACAGCUGGGCGAAGUACUCCCGAAAGGCCUCACGCAUUUUCUCGGGUUCGUUUACCAAGACAUCAUUUUGAUUCGUCAAAGACCGAAUAGAGGAACUAUUUCCUUGCCGAGAUUCCACCACUCGGGCCCAUCCAGCGACCUUGAUUCCUUCACUUCCCAUGUAUUGGGCUUCAAGAUGCUGGUUUAACUCUAGUCUUUUCACCCUCGCUUGGUCCGCAUUACCAGUCCUCCAGGCUUCUUCUAGUUCCUUAACUAGACCAUCUAUUCUUCGUCCCUUCUUAGCUAAACUUAUGCUAAACCUAAUAGACUCAUAUUUGAUGGCUCUUUUUAGGGCGUACCACCAUUUGUUAUUAAUGACGGUACCUGUUAAUGCCCUCUGUAUUAACAUCUUGAUCCGCUUUCUGUACUCCUCAAUCGCCAAAAGUUUCCAGUAGCCAGAUCCCUGACUAUGCAACUUAUCUACCGUCAGUUUACAGGUAACCAUCUUGUGGUCAUUGUAGCUGACUAGAAAAACCUGUGGACACACGACUAUGGACUUAUCUGUUUCUCUAAUUAUAAUCUUAUCUAGAUAUGUUCUGGAAGACCCGUCACUAUUUGACCACGUCCACUGUGGAGUGUUCGGGCGUUCCAGCCUAUAAGGAUCUGCUAGCUGAAAUUGACUUAGCAGAUCUCGUAAGUCCGGGUUACAUUUUCUGUUCAUGUCCGAGCCAACACAAUCUGUGUGUGCUACACAUAUUGUUUUAAAGUCUCCAAACAAUACUAGCGAAUGCGAUGUGGCUAGGAACUUGCCCAGGUCACGAAAAUAAUCAGUUUGCGGGCCCAUAAUGUUAGGUGCAUAAAUAGUGACCAGCCUGAUUGUCUUGCCACAACUGAAUGUCAGGUCAAGAACGACCAACCUGCGUUCUGUGUCAGAAAAGAACAACUUUUUCUCGGCUUCUCGGUUUCAUUUUAGUAGGAUCAAUACUCCUCCCCCACCUCCCGCCCGACUCGGAGAAACGUAUUUCUAGUAGCCGUUCAGGAAGGGGAGCAGAUCUCUUGGCCUUUUCACCCGGGUUUCCGUUGCAACAAUUACAUCCAAGUUUCUCGACCUGAUGGCAUUUAGAAAGCGCCCUUGCUUCCAGCUUGACAUCAGGCCACGAACAUUUAUACAACCAAUGUGAAUAGACGUGACUUACCUUGUGGAGAGGGAUUCUCCACUUUUUCGUGACUCAGGGUCGGAGAUGGUAAGCCUUCAAACAUGGAUUGGUGAAAAUCAAGUCUCCCUGUUGAGACCGAUUUUUUAUAUGUGUAAAACAACAUAUUGUACGUUUUUUCGUCCAAUUCGUAAAAUUCAUAGUUUUUAUAUUUCUCUGACAGUUCAAUUAAUCGAGUUGCCGAUUUUGGGGUUUUUAUUUCCCGCAUUAAAUCUUCGUUUUUACUGUAUAGUGCAGCUAUUCCUCCGCUCGUCACCCCCUCCGCCUUCCUCGGUCUGUCUCUCUUGGCUGUUUUUUUUUGGGGGGGGGUUGUCUCAACUCGCUCUGCUUUUGCUGGUUCGAGCCUUCCACUUUCCUUUUGUUGUUUAUUUUUCCUUUAGUUUCUCUCUCUCUUUCUUUCUCUUCGCCGUCUGAUUCUUCUACACCUUCUUUACAAUAUUUUUUAAUGUGACCCAGUUGGCCACACUGGAAACAUCGGGCGGAAUUCUUGGUAUUCUCACUUUUGACGUUCUCAUUCCCAUGUAAAUUGGGAUUAACAUUAUGUCUUCCGACUCUAAAGAUUUUAUAGAGUGUUUUUGUGCAGUUUCUGCAUUUUUGAACCUCACCACGAUGGUACCAAACUUCUUCCCUCUGGCUAGAUAUGUAAUGUCCUGCCAGACAUUUUUCAAUUUUUUGUUCACAUAUUUUAAUAAUUUUACGAGCUUUUAAGCAAAAUGUCUUAAAAAUAAUGAUUUUCUUUUUUUCCUCCGUUAAUUCUUCUUCCUGUAUUUCCACUUUUACUAUUUCAUCUCGUUCUGUUAUCAUAUCUUUAUAUUUUAAUAAUUCUUUUAUGUCAGUUGUCGCGCUCCACCACCAGCCGCUGACGCAAAACUUUUCUUUUCUUCAUUUUGGAUGGUCCUUUUUUUCUGUCUUCCUAUUGAUGUUCGUAACUCUUGGUAAUGUUGGAAAUUCGCUUUCCGACACAUCAGAAACGUUGUCAAAAAUUAUGCUUUCUAUUUUCUUUGCUUCUCUUUCAAUCGAUGAUUCGUCCCCCGACGAAGAACACGAACUUUUCCGCAUCUUGCCGGCAAUUAAAGGGGAAAACCACAGAUAGCUUUCGACAAAAAAAAUAUAAUACAAUUUUUUCAACAAUAAGUCCAACAAUAGGCACAACAAGAAACAUAACAAUUAAUAGAAACUUACGAACACACUCCAACAAUAAAUUUUCAGUAACAGACGGACGAAAUGCGGUUAAGUAUUUUGUUCGGCGUGCUAAUAAUUCUACCACCUCGACUAAUAAUAAUAACAACAGCAACAACAAUAAUAAUAUUGCUAUUAUUAUUAUUUUGGGGUCUAUAAAUUAAGUACCAGUGAAAUACUGGAGUUAAUGUAAUCGACUAGUCCCCAAAAAUUUUCAGGCCUUAUGCCUAUAAUAGAAAGGCUAUCAUCAUCGUCGUCAUCAUCAUCAUCAUCAUCAUCAUCAUCAUCAUCAUCAUCAUCAGAAGAAGAAGAAGAAGAAGAAGAAGAAGAAGAAGAAGAGCAACAACAACAACAACAACAACAACAGCAGCAGCAGCAGCAGCAACAACAACUACAAACACACACACACACAAGACUAGAAAAGGAGAAAGUUACAAACAAUAUUGUGAUAUUUCUAAUGGCUGAAGCACAUCUGGAAAAUAUUGUUUAAAUAUUUAGAAAUCUAAAGAAGGAGAGUCAGAACAGUGGAACUUGUUCAUAUUAAGUUACUAUGGUUUACGUUACAUGUCUGUCUUACAUCAACUAUUUAUAUAAAAUACCCGUCUAAAAGUAUUUUGAUAUAUUUCUCUCGAUCUAAAAUACGUAACAUUUGGGUAAGUGUAAAUAUUUGUAAACAGUUUUGAUUUAUACAUUUAUGAACUAUCUAGUCUUUUACUCCAUUACAGGCUUCAGUCAUUGGAUGUGGCCAUGCUGGGUCACCGCCUUCGGUGGCUCUCAGCCGACUACAUGACCCUAGUACAUCGACCUUGGAAAAAUGGAAGAAAAGCGAAAAUGACCUGAAGAUGUAGAUCAAAAACAGCACACCUCAUUUGGUUCGGCGCGCUACACUACAUUUGUAUGUAUAAGCGUAUGAGUACUUAUAUAUAUAUAUAUAUAUAUAUAUAUAUAUAUAUAUAUAUAUAUAUAUAUAUAUAUAUAUCAUAAUCAUCAUCAACAUCAUUUAACGUUUGUUUUCCAUAGUAGCAUAGGUUGGAUGGUUUGACAGUAGUUGGCAAUUUCGGGAGCCGUGCCAGGCUCCAUUGUCCAUUUUUGCAUGAAUUCUACAGCUGGAUGCCCUUCCUAACGCCAACCACUUUGCAAAGUAUACCAGAUGCUUUUAUGUGGCACACCAGCACCGGUGUUUUUUAUGUGGCACCAUCACCGACUGGAUCACCAAAUAUUUUGCAAGACAAAAAAGAGGCAAAAAGACCUCAACUGGGAAGGGAAGUAGCAUUAAGGGAGAUUUGUACUAGUUAAGAAGUUAAAAGUAUAGAGGGACAGCGAUAGAUGCCUUGCUGUAGAUGCAUGGAUUACCCGGUUGGAAAAGGGAGAGUAAAAUAGAGAGUAAGAUAAGAAGUGUGAUAGUAAGAAAGAUGAUGGCAAAGAUGUAUCGGAAUAUGCCCUCGAGGGACAUUAGGGGUGGUGAGAAUAGGUGAAGUGAUACAGAGGUUUGGACUGGGUAAGUAGGUUGGAUAGAAGUGACUGUAGCAAAUGAUGGAGAGAAAUAUAUGAGAGGUCCGGGGGAAGGGGUUGCGGUCAUUGAGGGUGACAACCGAUAAGCGAGGUAUUAAUGAUGAAUAACAGCAGAACGAGAAGGCAUAAAAAGGAGGUGAUUUGGGCGGGGGUAGAUAAUGGGAAAUGGAAGCGGUUUUGGGGUGAGAGGAAGUGAGGUAACUGAGAAAGCCGGGAGAUAUAGUAGUGUGUGCCUAUUCUGCUGAUACAGAAGUAGUGGGUAUUAGGGAAUGAAAUAUGUAGAGGGAAGGUUGAUGGGACAGAGAGGAGGUGGGGGAGUAGAUCCCUUCACAGACAAGCAUUACCAAGGUGGUUUUAGAAUAUCAAUUCUGCUGUGAUAAACGGGUCUUCUUGAGGACAGCAAGGCACCAAAUAUUUGUCCUUUGUCCUCCCCUUCGUAAAGCUCAGCGUCGAGAUCAGCUUUCAAUACUUCGUCACAUGUCUGCCUGAGUCUCUCUCUCUCUCUCU
rnacentral:lncRNA from 1 species